AUACAUUAACAUAGCUGUUCGCUCCUCUUUCUGUGCAGCCGUAUUCAUUCUCGUCGAUUAUCUUCUGUCUUGUCGCUGCCCACUCACCUUGGCCUCAGCUCACACCUUUGUUGCCCCCCACCUCACCCUCCCCGACCCCUCUCUGAGAGCACCGGCGGUGCUUCAGCAACGAAGUAAAGAAAGAGGCAAGCAAUACCAAGACAGACGCCGACUCUUGCGCCGACACGCACAUCGUAGCUAGGAGACAGUAAGGAGAGAACACACUUACAUGCCGAUUAGCCAUAACAACGAAACACCAGACUAACAAGAAGAAAAAAAGAGAGAAGGACGGGCAGGUAGAAGAAUUCGAUCAGGAGAGACCCCCACUCACCCACCCACUCCACUCCUCCGCCACCCUCCCCAUCGUCACAUAGAGACAAAAAAAAGAGGGAGGAAGAAAAACGACGAUACACGCAUCUGUACGUGAUCGCACACGCCAGUGGUGGUGCUGCUCUUCGAGUAUUAGCAGUCCUGUGGAGGGGGGGGUGAGGCGGGUGCGCUCUUCUCUCUUGCUUCUGCUCUCUCUCGCUGAUAUACACGCACCUCUUUUUCUUACGCUUUUUCCUCGUCAUUUUCUCCCCCUUUUUUCUUGUGCUGUUGUGGCCCGACGUGUGGGGGAGGUGGCUGAGGGGCCCAGACGGCGUGUGGCUUUGCCUUCUUCUGUGCUGCCCAGCUUUCUUCGUCCGAGACUUGUUUCUCACGCUUGUGUUUGUCUCUGUGCUGCGGACUUUGUUGCAUCCACAUCCCCGGCCCGCUGUCGCGCGCGCGUCUUUGUCGGCAGCCUCUACUCGUCCUUCCCCCUCGCAUUUUCCUUUUGUGGACUUGUCUUUCUGCUCUGUUUCUAAUUUUGUUAG
rnacentral:misc_RNA from 1 species